rnacentral:rRNA from 1 species
UACGUAGGGGGCAAGCGUUGUCCGGAAUUAUUGGGCGUAAAGAGCGCGUAGGCGGUCCGAUAAGUCGGCUGUGAAAGUCAGGGGCUCAACCCUUGAAAGCCGGCCGAUACUGUCGGACUAGAGUCCGGAAGAGGCAAGUGGAAUUCCCGGUGUAGCGGUGAAAUGCGCAGAUAUCGGGAGGAACACCAAUGGCGAAGGCGGGUCUCUGGACAGUUCCUGACGCUGAGGCACGAAGGUCAGGGGAGCAAACGGGG